CAGUGUGGCGGUAAUCUAGGUGGCAGCCCACAGGGCCAGGCCCCAGCAGGUGCCCUCUACCUGGCCACACAUUGCGGUGGCCCGGGGAGAUGCAGAGCCACGGGGAGGCGGCAAGCAGCCAUGUCCUGUCGCCCAACAUUUUCCUUAUCAGCUGUAUGGAUUUGCUCAGUGUGUAGGAGUCUUUCAGUUUUUUCCUCAGGAGAAACUGAUUCAUGUGGAGGUGGUUAUUCAAUGUGUUUGAGAGAAGAGGGAAAGUUGAGAGCCUCCUAUCCCACCAUCUUGCUGACAUCACCACUUGAUAUUUUAAGAGAAAUUUUGAUUUAGAAUAUGAAGAUUUAAGGUUAUUCCUCAUAUUGGACGUUUAUAACAAUUAUCUGUAUCCUUGGAGGACCAUAUACUGAAGAGGCAGAGUGGAAAAAAAAAUACAUCCUUUCUAACAGAGGGCAAAUUGCACUUGUUACAUCGCUACUCUUUAGCUCCAAAAAAAAAUAUUUUGGUAGUAUGAAGUUUGUUGCUGGAAAGAGAAG